rnacentral:misc_RNA from 1 species
ACAAACUUGGUCAUUUAGAGGAAGUAAAAGUCGUAACAAGGUUUCCGUAGGUGAACCUGCGGAAGGAUCAUUAAAGAGAAAACUGCCCUUUGGGUAGAUCUCCCACCCUUUGUUUACCUUACCUUUGUUGCUUUGGCAGGCCCGUCUUCUGACCACCGGCUUUAGCUGGUCCGUGCCUGCCAGAGGACCCCAAACUCCUUAAUUUUAAGUUGUCCGAGUCUUAUAAAAUAGUAAAAACUUUCAACAACGGAUCUCUAGGUUCUGGCAUCGAUGAAGAACGCAGC